UACUCCUUAAGAAAAAAGAAAUUAUAUAUGAGUAAUAAUGUACUACCAUUUACCCAAAUUGAAGCAUGCGUUCAUCACUUUCAAAAGAAUACCUUGAAAAACAACAAAGUACUUCAAAAAGGGGAACUUCCACUGUCGACCUUCAGUAUUCAAAAAACCGCCAGCCGCUUACUGUUUCGUUCCAACGCCGGACCGCUGCUCCACCGCCGCACCAUUGCUCCACCGCCGCACAACGUCUGCAGCACCGCACCUGUUCGCUGAGCCAUUGAGGUCUCAUAUCCUUCAUCAACCAACCCAGCAUAGCUGAAUGCAGAUAAUACUGUAAUGAAAUUGACUACAUCAGGUUUUAUACCUGACCUAUACAUUUCAUGCUUGACCUAUUACAAACCUAGUUGCAGUGGUAGUGGAUAUUACGUUUGUCGCUACAUGAUUGAGACAAUUAAAUAAAGGCAAAUGAUCAUCCCCGACAAGCAGUAUUUCAAGCAAGUUCCUCCUGCAUAUUCUCAACAAAUGAUCAAUGAGCUUAGGGAAAGGUGAAUUUCGUAUGUUACUGGAUACCAUCAACCAAAUGACGACGUCAAUGAUUUAUGUGAAUUGUAGAUCAAUAUGGUAUUGGAUACCAUCAACCAAAUGACGACGUCAAUUGUAGAUUCUUAACUCUCGUAUUUGUUGUAUAGCACAAAUUUUCGGGGUGAAUGAUUUAGUUUAAUUGUGGUUGGAUAUUUUAAAUUAUAUAUAUGAAAUAUAUUUUGAUGGUUUUGUUUUA